CCUACGGGAGGCAGCAGUGAGGAAUAUUGGUCAAUGGGCGGGAGCCUGAACCAGCCAAGUAGCGUGAAGGAUGACAGCCCUAUGGGUUGUAAACUUCUUUUAUAAGGGAAUAAAACGCCCCACGUGUGGGGUUUUGUAUGUACUUUAUGAAUAAGCAUCGGCUAAUUCCGUGCCAGCAGCCGCGGUAAUACGGAGGAUGCGAGCGUUAUCCGGAUUUAUUGGGUUUAAAGGGAGCGUAGGCGGUUGCAUAAGUCAGCGGUAAAAUUGGGGGGCUCAACCGUACCGUGCCGUUGAGACUGUGAGUCUUGAGUACACUCAGGGUACAUGGAAUUCGUGGUGUAGCGGUGAAAUGCUUAGAUAUCACGAAGAACCCCGAUUGCGAAGGCAUUUUACCAAAGUGAGACUGACAUUGAUGCUCGAAAGUGCGGGUAUCAAACAGGAUUAGAUACCCUAGUAGUC
rnacentral:rRNA from 1 species